rnacentral:rRNA from 1 species
GACGAACGCUGGCGGCGUGCCUAAUACAUGCCAGUAGAACGCACAGUUUAUACCGUAGCUUGCUACACCAUAAACUGUGAGUUGCGAACGGGUGAGUAACGCGUAGGUAACCUGCCUGGUAGCGGGGGAUAACUAUUGGAAACGAUAGCUAAUACCGCAUAAUAUUGAUUAUUGCAUGAUAAUUGAUUGAAAGAUGCUAUUGCAUCACUACCAGAUGGACCUGCGUUGUAUUAGCUAGUAGGUGAGGUAACGGCUCACCUAGGCGACGAUACAUAGCCGACCUGAGAGGGUGAUCGGCCACACUGGGACUGAGACACGGCCCAGACUCCUACGGGAGGCAGCAGUAGGGAAUCUUCGGCAAUGGACGAAGGUCUGACCGAGCAACGCCGCGUGAGUGAAGAAGGUUUUCGGAUCGUAAAGCUCUGUUGUAAGAGAAGAACGGGUGUGAGAGUGGAAAGUUCACACUGUGACGGUAUCUUACCAGAAAGGGACGGCUAACUACGUG